GCAGAAUGGCCAUGGACCACAGGCAGAUGGGCUUUUCUCCUCAUCUCAUCACUGCUGCCAGAGACAGACUGCUGAUUUGACUCCGACAGGACGCUCAUAUCAAACGAAGCUGCUGGAGAUGGUCUGAGCAAUCAUCUGGAUGAAAAGAGCGCAGAUGUGGACUGAUACAUUUAGUACUGGUUCUGCAGGAGCAGAAACUGGAGGCCUUGAUCCCCUCACACCAGAGGAAAUCACAGUUACAGGAAUCACACGUACCAGGAAACUCUCAGUAUAAAUCAUGGCAAUAUCGACUUAAAGGGGGUAGGAGCAUCGGCCGCAAGCAGGACAAGAAUGUCACUCAUGAAACGAAGGAAGGAAACAAGAAAAGGAUCCUCCCCUGUGACACUGACCUG